rnacentral:rRNA from 1 species
UUACGGGAGGCAGCAAUCAGGAAUCUUGCGCAAUGGGGGAAACCCUGACGCAGCGACGUCGCGUGGAGGAAGACGGCCUUCGGGUUGUAAACUCCUUUUGUAAGGGAAGAGCAAGGACGGUACCUUACGAAUAAGCCCCGGCUAACUCCGUGCCAGCAGCCGCGGUAAUACGGAGGGGGCGAGCGUUGUCCGAAUUUACUGGGCGUAAAGCGCGUGUAGGCGGACCGUCAAGCCUGGGGUGAAAGCCCGGAGCUCAACUCCGGAACGGCCCUGGGGACUGAUGGUCUGGAGGCAGGCAGAGGAGAGUGGAAUUCCUGGUGUAGCGGUGGAAUGCGUAGAGAUCAGGAAGAACACCCGUGGCGAAGGCGGCUCUCUGGGCCUGUACUGACGCUGAGACGCGAAAGCGUGGGGAGCGAACGGGAUUAGAUACCCGUGUAGUCCC